rnacentral:pre_miRNA from 1 species
UUUCUCCUUCUGGUCCAGACAAGUCACUUAAGGGAGUGACUUGUCUGGACCAGAAGGAGAAAG